rnacentral:snRNA from 1 species
GGAUGUGAGGGCGAUCUGGCUGCGACAUCUGUCACCCCAUUGAUCGCCAGGGUUGAUUCAGCUGAUCUGGCUGGCUAGGCGGGUGUCCCCUUCCUCCCUCACUGCUCCAUGUGCGUCCCUCCCGAAGCUGCACACUUGGUCGAAGAGGACCUCCCUAAUAGAGGAGGACCAGUCUUCGGUCAAGGGUAUACGAGUAGCUGCGCUCCCCUGCUAGAACCUCCAAACAAGCUCUCAAGGUCCAUUUGUAGGAGAACAUAGGGUGGUGAAGCUUCCCAGACUCCAGACACAUCCAAAUGAGGCUCUGCUUGUGGCAGUCUGCCUUUCUUU